AAAUAAGAUAAUGAUGCCUGUCAAAUGAGCAACCCUCAGCCUUCCCUCCGUCUACAGCUACAGGGAAUGGGAAGUAGCCAUGAGAAGCCCUGGGGCUGCUGGAUACUCUGCAAGGCCAUCCUCCUGUAACUAAGGUCACUGUAUUGCACUGUCAAAUCCAAACGUAUCUUAGCUGGAAAGACCUGCCCAUCACCUAUCAACCCCUUCACUUCAUAAACGUGUCUUCAAGGUUCACAAAGACUGGCCCCAGCAUCAUCGCAUGGACCCUUGUGACGCUCUGGAAGGUAGGGCAGGCGUCAGUAUUUCUAUUUCAGGUGAGACAGUGAACUCAGACCCUAUUCAGUGAUUCACCCAAGGUCACAGACAGCUUGUCUGUCAGGGAGAAGGAGCCUGAACCCUGGUUGUAUCCUCUGAGUUUGGUAUCUGACCAUUGCCAAUCUUACCAAGCAGGACAUGAAACUCUUCAAGGCGAGGUAGCUUCUCGUGGUUACCUAGGGGAUGAGUACCAGGGUUGAGACUUGAGAGUGCAGAACACUGAUUAUUUAGCAGUGCCAAGGUGAGCAGCCUUGCUCAAGGCACGGAUGGACAAAUGUUGCCCAGGACAGCAUCCUGCUUUCUUCCUUCCUGUCCCUGAACGUCCCAGGGAUUUAACCAUCUCCCUUUUCCCAUUACUCCCACCUAUUUUCCAACUUGGAUUCCACUGAAGGAGAUGCCACAAAACCUUUCUUCUCCUCACUUUCAUCCUGGGAAUCAGGAUCAGCCUUUCAGUUUGUUUUUGUUUGUUUGUU
rnacentral:lncRNA from 1 species